rnacentral:rRNA from 1 species
CCUACGGGAGGCAGCAGUGAGGAAUAUUGGUCAAUGGACGAGAGUCUGAACCAGCCAAGUAGCGUGAAGGAUGACUGCCCUAUGGGUUGUAAACUUCUUUUAUAUGGGAAUAAAAUGUUCCACGUGUGGGAUUUUGUAUGUACCAUAUGAAUAAGGAUCGGCUAACUCCGUGCCAGCAGCCGCGGUAAUACGGAGGAUCCGAGCAUUAUCCGGAUUUAUUGGGUUUAAAGGGAGCGUAGGUGGAUUGUUAAGUCAGUUGUGAAAGUUUGCGGCUCAACCGUAAGAUUGCAGUUGAAACUGGCAGUCUUGAGUACAGUAGAGGUGGGCGGAAUUCGUGGUGUAGCGGUGAAAUGCUUAGAUAUCACGAAGAACUCCGAUUGCGAAGGCAGUUCACUGGACUGCAACUGACACUGAGGCUCGAAAGUGUGGGUAUCAAACAGGAUUAGAUACCCUAGUAGUC